AACGAACGCUGGUGGCAUGCCUAACACAUGCAAGUCGAACGAGACCUUCGGGUCUAGUGGCGCACGGGUGCGUAACGCGUGGGAACCUGCCCUUAGGUUCGGAAUAACUCACAGAAAUUUGUGCUAAUACCGGAUAAUGUCUUCGGACCAAAGAUUUAUCGCCUUUGGAUGGGCCCGCGUUGGAUUAGCUUGUUGGUAGGGUAAUGGCCUACCAAGGCGACGAUCCUUAGCUGGUCUGAGAGGAUGAUCAGCCACACUGGGACUGAGACACGGCCCAGACUCCUACGGGAGGCAGCAGUGGGGAAUAUUGGACAAUGGGCGAAAGCCUGAUCCAGCAAUGCCGCGUGAGUGAUGAAGGCCUUAGGGUUGUAAAGCUCUUUUACCAGGGAUGAUAAUGACAGUACCGGGAGAAUAAGCGCCGGCUAACUCCGUG
rnacentral:rRNA from 1 species